GACAGCAGUAGCCGCGGGAAUACGUAGGUGGCAAGCGUUGUCCGGAAUUAUUGGGCGUAAAGGGCUCGCAGGCGGUUUCUUAAGUCUGAUGUGAAAGCCCCCGGCUCAACCGGGGAGGGUCAUUGGAAACUGGGAAACUUGAGUGCAGAAGAGGAGAGUGGAAUUCCACGUGUAGCGGUGAAAUGCGUAGAGAUGUGGAGGAACACCAGUGGCGAAGGCGACUCUCUGGUCUGUAACUGACGCUGAGGAGCGAAAGCGUGGGGAGCGAACAGGAUUAGAUACCCCAGUAGUCCCUGUCUCUUAUAC
rnacentral:rRNA from 1 species